rnacentral:rRNA from 1 species
UACGUAGGGUGCGAGCGUUAAUCGGAAUUACUGGGCGUAAAGCGUGCGCAGGCGGUUUUGUAAGCCAGAUGUGAAAUCCCCGGCUUAACCUGGGAAUGGCAUUUGGGACUGCAAGGCUGGAGUUUGGCAGAGGAGACUGGAAUUCCUGGUGUAGCAGUGAAAUGCGUAGAUAUCAGGAGGAAUACCGAUGGCGAAGGCCAGGUCUCUGGGCUAUAACUGACGCUCAUGCACGAAAGGCGUGGGGAGCAAACGAGAUACGAAACCCGACGUAGAUCCGAAGAUACCCAAGUCUC